UGGGGAAUUUUGGACAAUGGGCGCAAGCCUGAUCCAGCAAUGCCGCGUGCAGGAUGAAGGCCUUCGGGUUGUAAACUGCUUUUGUACGGAACGAAAAGGCUCUGGUUAAUACCUGGGGCUCAUGACGGUACCGUAAGAAUAAGCACCGGCUAACUACGUGCCAGCAGCCGCGGUAAUACGUAGGGUGCAAGCGUUAAUCGGAAUUACUGGGCGUAAAGCGUGCGCAGGCGGUUAUGUAAGACAGACGUGAAAUCCCCGGGCUCAACCUGGGACCUGCAUUUGUGACUGCAUAGCUAGAGUACGGCAGAGGGGGAUGGAAUUCCGCAUGUAGCAGUGAAAUGCGUAGAUAUGCGGAGGAACACCGAUGGCGAAGGCAAUCCCCUGGGCCUGUACUGACGCUCAUGCACGAAAGCGUGGGGAGCAAACA
rnacentral:rRNA from 1 species